rnacentral:rRNA from 1 species
UACGGGGGGGGCAAGCGUUGUUCGGAUUCAUUGGGCGUAAAGGGUGUGUAGGUGGCGCGCUAAGUCGGGUGUGAAAUUUCGGAGCUUAACUCCGAAACUGCAUUCGAUACUGCCGUGCUUGAGGACUGGAGAGGAGACUGGAAUUUACGGUGUAGCGGUGAAAUGCGUAGAUAUCGAAAGGAAGACCAGUGGCGAAGGCGGGUCUCUGGACAGUUCCUGACGCUGAGGCACGAAGGCCAGGGGAGCAAACGGG